GUGGGGAAUAUUGGACAAUGGGGGCAACCCUGAUCCAGCCAUGCCGCGUGAGUGAUGAAGGCCCUAGGGUUGUAAAGCUCUUUUGUGCGGGAAGAUAAUGACGGUACCGCAAGAAUAAGCCCCGGCUAACUUCGUGCCAGCAGCCGCGGUAAUACGAAGGGGGCUAGCGUUGCUCGGAAUCACUGGGCGUAAAGGGUGCGUAGGCGGGUCUUUAAGUCAGGGGUGAAAUCCUGGAGCUCAACUCCAGAACUGCCUUUGAUACUGAGGAUCUUGAGUCCGGAAGAGGUGAGUGGAACUGCGAGUGUAGAGGUGAAAUUCGUAGAUAUUCGCAAGAACACCAGUGGCGAAGGCGGCUCACUGGUCCGGUACUGACGCUGAGGCACGAAAGCGUGGGGAGCAAACAGGA
rnacentral:rRNA from 1 species